UCCCUGGUGGCUCAGAUGGUAAAGCUUCUGCCUGCAAUGCGGGAGACCCAGGUUUGAUUCCUGGGUCGGGAA
rnacentral:tRNA from 1 species